UCUCCGUUGGUGAACCAGCGGAGGGAUCAUUACCGAGUUUACAACUCCCAAACCCAAUGUGAACGUUACCAAACUGUUGCCUCGGCGGGGUCACGCCCCGGGUGCGUCGCAGCCCCGGAACCAAGCGCCCGCCGGAGGAACCAACCAAACUCUUUCUGUAGUCCCCUCGCGGACGUUAUUUCUUACAGCUCUGAGCAAAAAUUCAAAAUGAAUUAAAACUUUCAACAACGGAUCCCUUGGUUCUG
rnacentral:misc_RNA from 1 species